AUUGAACGCUGGCGGCAUGCCUUACACAUGCAAGUCGAACGGCAGCACGGGAGCAAUCCUGGUGGCGAGUGGCGAACGGGUGAGUAAUAUAUCGGAACGUGCCCAGUAGUGGGGGAUAACCCGGCGAAAGUCGGACUAAUACCGCAUACGACCUACGGGUGAAAGCGGGGGAUCGCAAGACCUCGCGCUAUCGGAGCGGCCGAUAUCAGAUUAGCUUGUUGGUGGGGUAAAAGCCUACCAAGGCGACGAUCUGUAGCUGGUCUAAGAGGACGACCAGCCACACUGGGACUGAGACACGGCCCAGACUCCUACGGGAGGCAGCAGUGGGGAAUUUUGGACAAUGGGCGCAGGCCUGAUCCAGCCAUGCCGCGUGAGUGAAGAAGGCC
rnacentral:rRNA from 1 species